AUACGGAGGACGCGAGCGUUAUCCGGAUUCAUUGGGUUUAAAGGGUGCGUAGGCCGUCGCUUAAGUCAGCGGUGAAAGCCCGGGGCUCAACCCCGGCGAGCCGUUGAAACUGGGCGGCUGGAGAGGAAGAGAGGUACGCGGAAUUCGCGGUGUAGCGGUGAAAUGCUCAGAUAUCGCGAAGAACUCCGAUUGCGAAGGCAGCGUACCGGCUUCUGUCUGACGCUGAGGCACGAAAGCGUGGGGAUCGAACAGGAUUAGAUACCCUGGUAGUCCACGCAGUAAACGAUGGAUGCUAGCUGUCCGGGGGGAUUGACCCCUGGGGGGCACAGCGAAAGCGUUAAGCAUCCCACCUGGGGAGUACGCCGGCAACGGUGAAACUCAAAUGAAUUGACGGGG
rnacentral:rRNA from 1 species